rnacentral:rRNA from 1 species
AUUGAACGCUGGCGGCAUGCCUUACACAUGCAAGUCGAACGGUAACGGGCCUUCGGGUGCCGACGAGUGGCGAACGGGUGAGUAAUACAUCGGAACGUGCCCGAUCGUGGGGGAUAACGAGGCGAAAGCUUUGCUAAUACCGCAUACGAUCUACGGAUGAAAGCCGGGGACCGCAAGGCCUUGCGCGGACGGAGCGGCCGAUGGCAGAUUAGGUAGUUGGUGGGAUAAAAGCUUACCAAGCCGACGAUCUGUAGCUGGUCUGAGAGGAUGAUCAGCCACACUGGGACUGAGACACGGCCCAGACUCCUACGGGAGGCAGCAGUGGGGAAUUUUGGACAAUGGGCGCAAGCCUGAUCCAGCCAUGCCGCGUGCAGGAUGAAGGCCUUCGGGCUGUAAACUGCUUUUGUACGGAACGAAAAGCCUUCUUUUAAUACAGGAGGGUCAUGACGGUACCGUAAGAAUAAGCACCGGCUAACUACGUG